AUAGUGAUAUGGAGCAAAACCCUAAAAAGACGGUCUCAGUUCGGAUUGAAGGCUGAAAUUCGCCUUCAUGAAGCUGGAAUUGCUAGUAAUGGCAGGUCAGCAUACUGCCGUGAAUACGUUCCCGGGCCUUGUACACACCGCCCGUCACACCAUGAGAGUUGGAAAUACCCGAAGCCUGUGAGCUAACUGUAAAGAGGCAGCAGUCGAAGGUAGAGCCAAUGAUUGGGGUGAAGUCGUAACAAGGUACC
rnacentral:rRNA from 1 species